AACUCCCAAACCCACACCUCAUUAGAAGAUUGAAGUCUUGCUCUUAGCCUGGGCACUACACUGACUUUCUUUCUUUUUCUUUUUAAGUGAAAGCAAAUUUAUUAGGAAAGUAAAAGAAUAAAGAAUGACUACUCCACAGGCCAACCAGCAUACAUUGCCUUUCUGAGACUCAGUUUCCUCAUUUACAGCCUUCGGAGAGCAGCCACGUUCACCAUCAAGGCUUCGCUAUGAAAACUAAAGACAUGAUGAUAGAGAUGUGGAGGUCUGCGGACAGGAGCUCUCUCACAAUUUCCAAUGUGCAUCUCUCUUUUGAUACAUGAAACUUCUUGAAGUUUUGAAUGGCAAACUGAAGAGGUUCAGAGUAUGCCACCCCAAACUUGCCACGUGAACACAAAGAUUAUUUGGAGCUAAAUGUAUUUGAGAUUCAGCAGAUGCAGAAAGAAGCCUUCCCAGAGUUUCCCUUACCUGACUAAAAGCAGAUACUUCUGAGAAAUGAAGAUGGUCAUAGAUCCCCAUCCUGGGGCAGUUUUAUGCCAUGAAGGAGCUGGAAAGUCAAUGUCAAAAUGGACCUGCACAGGCAAACCUUACUCUAUCAGUUUCCCUCAAUGUUUUAUCUUCCCCGAGUUUGCCAUCCUCAGAAGCCUGAAAGUUUUUCUUUUGUCUUAUCACUUUUCUGUACAAUUAUUGAUUUUUUGUUAAGGUGCUAUAUGAGCCCAAGUUCUAACCACUCCUUUGCCUUAAUCGUCACUGAAUUUCCCAUGUGUAUGUGCAAUGCACAUAUUAAUAAACUUCUCUUUGUUUUUCUCUUGUUACACAUCUGUCUCUUUUCAAUGUAAUUUGCGAGACUCCAGCUGAAGAACCAAGAAAGGGAGGUAAAAAGAAUUAUUCAAUAUCUCAAUAUCAUGUCACCUGGACCAUUACCAAUGUGGAAAGCAAGUCUCUCAGUAUUAAAGGGGGAAGUCAGGUUACAAAAGGGUAGGUAUUUUGUGAGACACAAAUAUAAAGAAAGGUGGAUUCCUGAAUAUCCUCAAUGGUUACCUGAGUUUUACAAUUUUGGUACUUA
rnacentral:lncRNA from 1 species